rnacentral:rRNA from 1 species
CCAGCUCCUGGAGUGUCUAUGAUGAUUGCUGCAGUUAAAGAGUUCGUAGUCGAAGUGGUUAUAACGGUGUAACAGGCCUUCUCUCAAGGAGGGUUAUGCGCCGUGAUUCCAUGGAAUAAGGAGCGUUUAGGGGCCAGGUUAUUAAGCGACGAGGGGUGAAAUCUGGUGACUCGCUUAGGAGCAACAGAGGCGAAAGCGCUGGCCAGGAGCGAAUCCGAUGAUAAAGGACGUAGGCUAGAGGAUCGAAGACGAUUAGAGACCGUUGUAGUUCUAGCAGUAAACGAUGCCGAUACCGUGGUGCGGAUACCGACGCGGAAGAGAAAUCGAGUAGGGCCCUGGGGAGAGUACACGCGCAAGCGAGAAAUUUAAAGGAAAUUGACGGAAGAACACCACAAGGAGUGGAGUGUGCGGAUUAAUUUGACUCAACGCGGGACAGCUUACCAGGCCCGACGGCGAACGAGUGCUGUACACGAUAGGUCGAAGAGUGGUGCAUGGCCGUUAACGACGAGUGAGGUGACUUUUGGGUUAAAUCCGGGAAGUAGUGAGACCCCUACCGAAAGGGACAGGUGCCGAAAGCACAGGAAGGAAGGGUCAAGAACAGGUCAGUGAUGCCCUCAGAUGGUCUGGGCUGCACGCGCACUACAGUGGUCAUAGAAAUGAAACGAUAGAAUUAAAGAUGAUCGAGAGGGAAUGAGCUUUGUAAGAGGCUCAGGAACGAGGAAUUGCUAGUAAUCGCGGACUCAUUAAGACGCGAUGAAUACGUCCCUGUUCUUUGUACACACCGCCCGUCGUUAUCGAAGAUGGAGUCAGGCGCGAACAAGCGAGAGCGAGUGAGUGCAAGAUUCUAGAUGUGAUACAAGUCGUAACAAGGUAGCUGUAGGAGAACCUGUAGCUGG